AUAUCAAUAAGCGGAGGAAAAGAAACUAACAAGGAUUCCCCUAGUAACUGCGAGUGAAGCGGGAAAAGCUCAAAUUUAAAAUCUGGUGGUCUUUGGCCAUCCGAGUUGUAAUUUAGAGAAGCGUCUUCCGCGCUGGACCGUGCAUAAGUCUCCUGGAAUGGAGCGUCAUAGAGGGUGAGAAUCCCGUCUUUGGCACGGACCCCAGGGCUUCUGUGAUGCGCUCUCAAAGAGUCGAGUUGUUUGGGAAUGCAGCUCAAAAUGGGUGGUGAACUCCAUCUAAAGCUAAAUAUUGGCGAGAGACCGAUAGCGCACAAGUA
rnacentral:rRNA from 1 species